CUGCUUCAUGCAUCAGCAUUAUUUCCGUUUCUGCAGGACAUUUUAUUUGGCAUCGACCAGUGCUGAAAGCCUCAGCUUUUUGUGGAUGCAGGUGUGGAGGUACUAUGCAGUCUCAGUAUGGACUGAAUACAGGAGAAAAAAAUGACUGGAAGAAGGCACUCGCCUGUCACGUUUCUUUUUCUUUUACCAGCAAUGAGUAAAAAUGCCCAUUUUUCCCAAAGACAGUACUACCAGUGUGCCUUUGAGCUGCCGAUGCUGUUUUACUGUUGCUGACCUACAUACAACUUGCCAUGUCAGCCCCCCCCCCAAAAAAAAUCAGCCUGAGCUAGAUCCUCCAGACAGGAGACUCCCAGUGAACAUAGCAACAGAAACUCUCCUCCCACCUCUCUCCCCACCCUCCCUGCCUCCCACUGGAGCGAUGCGGGCCAGGCUCUGUAGCUACAGCCUCACUUGGCUUCAGGAUUGGGGGAAGGGGAGUGAGUUAACAUAUGGCUUAUUGUGCAUUGUAGGCUAUGGCUUUCAGCUCGUCAACACUGGCACGAGCUGGAAAAUUGCACUUGUGUUCAGCAGCUGAAUCUUUUCUUCUUCUUUUUUUCUCGCGAUAUUUGUUUGGUGAAAUACCCACUCAGAAUGCCAUAAACCCAGCCGGUUUGUCACCAAAACUCCCGUGCAGAGUUAUUGUCUCCCAGACUCGUCUAUCAUCACCUUAAUAGCCACGUGUGUAACACUUAAAAAUGGUAAUCACCUCGGCUGUAACACCCGCAGACAGCUGCUGGAGAACGAUGACUACCUGUUUUAUAACCAUGUUUGCUUUGGAGGAGAGUGUGGUGCUGGCAUAAUUUGUGGUUCAGUUGCGUGUCAAGCAAAGCGGUCGGCCACAGUUUGGUGACGCAAGGGGAACUAUUAAUAUCUCGGGAACGGGAUGUUCUCGCUUCGGCAUCGGGGUCACUCGAGGAUAAACAACGUGUUGACGGUGUGGUUGUGGAGAGUGCGACAGAACGAUCGUCUGAGAGUUUUAAAGGGGGACACGCCGAAGUUCCCCUCUUUCCUUUUCUUUGUCCCUUGCACCGGGCGCAUCCCCGCGGUCAGGCUGGUUCACGCUCCGUGCCGGGGUUGUGCACUUCAGUCCGUUUUGAGCCUCGCCCACUUGUGAACCCGCUGACUUCUGAGCGCACUCUGGUCGAAGUGGUGGAAACAGUCAUGUGAUGUAACAGUGCCUCUUUGGAAAUCGUAUGUUUUGAAAUUCUGCCUCGCUGUGUUUUUUUGUUUUCACUUUGAACUUUCUCUGCGCCAAAUGGAAUAUAAAAGGGAGGCUUAUGUGCGCAUUCCGCUCAGAUUACAGGCCUGUAAAGCAUCAUAACGGCGCACGACUGCAAACAAAAGUUUGGUAUUGCAAUUAAAAUGGAAACCUGCAUUAGUUAUAGGCAAGAUGGAGAACUGUCAUGUAGUGCACAAGAACUUGCACCAGCAACUGGUUGUUUAUCAUUAUCAUCAGAAUACAUUUUUAUUUUAUUUAUUUAUUGGCUUUUAAAAAUGAAUUAUUUUGAGAUAAGCAGUAAAAUAGAAAGUCAAAAAGACCAAAUUUUAAUAUAAGGGGGAUGUCAGGGACACAACAGGAAGACAGUUUUCUUACUGUGUCAGCACUUAUUAGGAAGUCUUCUACACAGAGUGGGUUCAUCCAGAAUUUGGGUGUUGAGAGGAUGGAAUGGCGUGCCUGCAGUCCUGAUCUCAACCCCACUGAAACCUUGUUAGAUCAGCUCGGAAGUGCUCUUUGUGCCAGAGUGACCAACAUAACCAUGGUGGCUAGAUUAAUCUUGGUUGAAGAUGCCAUCCCACAGCAGUGUGUAACCAAACUGGUGACCAGCAUGAGGAGGAUGUGCCAGGCUCUUGUAGCUGUGUAUUGGUCUGCCACAUGCUACUGAGGCCUCUGUUUGUUAAAUGAAUAAAAUGUUUAAUUACCAGCACAUCUUGUUUCUUCAGACUUAAAUCAAUCAAUCCAACAAACAACACCAAACAAGAGUCAAUAGCAGAAUUAACAGCUUGACAUUGGCAGAGAAAAUUUGGCAAGUUUCUCAUAGGUCAAGCCUACAAGGACAACUCUGCUGCUCAACCCACAAAUGCAUUUGUGGAUUCCUCACAAAUAUGGCAAUAUUUAAGGGGAAAUAAACAGGCUUUCCAACUGUAUAAGAUUUAUGCCAUAAGUGGAUUUUGUAAGUUUAUAUACUUUCAGUUUUGUUUUCCAUGUAGAUUUUUAUUGAUCUUUGCUUUUUCUAACUGUUGAGUAGAUAAAACAAUUUCAAAGACAUAAGCUCUGGGAAAUGAUAGUGAGAUCUGUCACUAUAUUCUGAGAUUUUUUCCAAAUGGUAAUUUAAUUCUAAUGUUUUAUUUCAGCUUACAGCCCAUAUAAAGAGAAGUGACAGAAAGAAAAAAAAACAUCAUGACCUUUAUUAGUAAGGCACUGGGCCACCACAAGCCAUGAGAAAAGCUCCAGUGCAGCGUGGCACUGUUUCUCUUAUUGUCUGAAACGAUACUGGAUAUUCCCUCAUUUACCAUGUGGUAGAGAGUGCUGUCUUUCACUUCAGUCCAAAAUCUCCCACAGGUGUCCAACUGUGUUAAGAUCAUAUGGCUACGGACACCACAGUAUAUUGUUUACCGUGCUAAUCAACCCAAUCAGUGACCCCUUGAGCCCUGUGGAUGGGGAGAGUGCCAUGCUGGAAGUGAAUACUCCAUCAGGAUGGAAAUGUUCUUUCACUGGAUACCAGUGAUCAAAGUAACUGUGCUGCAGUGAUCCUCCCCUCUCAGUGAACCAUGUAACCCUUAUUGCUGGCAUCAAGUAUUUAGGCCUGCCCUCAUAUCUGGAUGUACAUAACAUGUUCACAUCACUUGCUGAUUGUAAGGUUGGUGGUUUGACCCUCACGUCCUCCAGUACAUAUGUUUGAAGUGUCCGUGGGUCAGAUAUUAAACCCCUCAGUCAAGGGCUGUACACAAAAAUACUAAAACAAAUAAGAACAUGAAAUUCCAGAAUAGCCAAUAAAAAGAAUUAAUAGCACACAAUAAAAUAAGACAGUUUUUAAAUAAAUAAAUAAUAAUAAUUCAACAAACAGAAUGCCGAUUUAAACAAAAAAGUUUGCCUGAUUGUGGCUUGUAAUAAAAAGUGCUUAGUACUCACUUAGAGCAGAAAAGCACUGUAAGUACCAGUCCACUGGCCAUUACUGUAAUAACCCUAUAUAAUUAUGGGUGCAUUGUUCUUGCAGACAAGUCUUUUCACAUCCUGCAUAAACAGCCUCACUCACCUGAGGAAGAGCUACUCUUUAGCCUUGCCUUGCAUGCACCAGUGCAGCAUCACAGUCAUCAAAGCUGCACUGCUCAUGACAGUUUCCACAGAUUUAAAUGUAACUUGUAGCCAUUUUUUCAAAGUGAAAACUUGUCAGACUGAGAACUCUGUCACUGAAGCUCCUGUAAUUCAUCCCAACAGUGAACCCUUUUUCACCAUCAUAAGAAACAGCAAGUUUUUUGGUUUGAGUUUAACUCCUUAAUACUAUGCAGUGCACCAGCUUGGAAGCAUGCUUGAUUUGCUUCUACACUCAUUUAUUUAGUUUUUUCCUCUAAUUUUAAUCUCGAUCGGUGUCAGUAGAAAAUGACUGUGCUGUAAUGACCUUUACAUCUUGCACACACUCAAACACUGACCAUUAAUAAUGGACUGCAUGCCAUUUAAGUGCCUCUGUUGAAUGUCCCACCAAAAGAGACGGUCAUCUCAAAAGCAUCAGCGCAGUGAGCUAAUGCAGGCCCCCUGCAGACUCACCGCCCAGAUGAAUAGUGCAUUUCAGAGUGUUGUCCCCUCACCGGUGCCCGCGAGGCACGUCCCUCUCCAGCCGUCGCACCAAUCAAUGCAUUUUGAAUAGCACCAGCACUGACCAGCAAAUGGGUGCAAAAACAAAACUCUGUCCGCUUCACAUUGCUCUUUUGAGCUGUAUUGUGUUGAGCAGACAAAGCCACCAUGCCAAAGGAACAAUGAUGGCAGUGCAUACUCAUGGCUAAGCAUGGGCCUAGGGUCAAGCGAGUGACGUACAAAUCAGCUUGUGAUUAUGAACUCAAGUCUGCAUGCAAGACAGUCGUCACUCUCACGUCAGAGCACUUGUCUACUGCUUUCAAAUUAUGCAACAGAAAAAAUUAUCAUGUUCUGCCAGUGAUGCUGGACAGCUCUCUGUUCUUUGUAGUAGAGUGCCGGGGAGGCGGCACCGAGGCGGGGGAGGAAAGCAGGAUUAACAUAGUGGUAAAGAAGGUUGCCUCUUGUGUGGCUGAACAUUGAUGGCCUGGAGGCAAAAAGACAGAGGGAGGAUGACAACCAAAUGGGACUCCUUUCUAAACAACACCUCCCACCCUUCUGAGAGCUCGUGCAGUGACCUCUUCUCAGCCUCAGCCCCCUUUCUGCAAGGUGCUAGGAAGGGAGUUGAGCACUGUUCUGGUCUUGUUGUUGUUGAAAAGCAGCACCUGAAUGACGCUAUCUUGGGCAGCUGUCAUGGGCAGCUUUUAUGAGUUAAUUUGUUUGUUGUUUAAGUGCACAAAGCCCUGUCUUUAGAUAAGAUUUCUCCAUAUGACAGGUGUUUGCACGGGGCGUUUUGAGCACAUGUGUAAACUGCACAUUACAGUUUCUUUUGUAUGAAUAAUUUGCAUUUACUGGUAGUAAUAUAGGAUUGAGCAUUUGCCUCUUAUUCUGACAAUUAAAAUAUGCUCUUGCUAGGAGUUGGCUUAGCUUUGUGUGAUGACUAUGAAUUCAACUGUGGGGAAAAAAGAGCUUAAAUAGGGUCAUUUGUGGGACUUGGCACAUAUCUUUGGAUAGAGCCAGUGUCCAGGAUUUAUACCGCUUCUUUUUCUUCUUCUUUUGGCUUCUCCCUUUAGGGAUCACCACAGUGGAUAAUCUGCCUCCAUCUAACCCCUAUCUGUCACACCAACUCUCCGCUAUGUCCUUCUUCACUACAUUCAUGAAUCUUCUCUGUGGUCUUCAUCUUUGUCUCCUACCUGGCAGCUCCAUAUUCAACACCCUUUGCCCAGUAUAUCCACUAUCCCCUCUCCACAUGUCCAAAAAAUAUCAGCAUUGCCUUAUCCUGUUAACAUUGUUCUUUCACUUUAACAUCUUCAGCUUGGCCUUCUGUCUUUUUGUCAGUACCCCUUUCUCCAAACCAUACCAAAUGUCUAACUGCUAUCUUGUAAACCAUCCCUUUCACUCUUACUCUGUGCAUGUUUCCACCUGUCUCCGUCUCAUUCAUACACACGUAUUCUAUCUUGCUUCUACUGUCUUUCAUUCCUCUUCUGUCAGAGCAUACCUCCACCUCUCCAGACGAUCUUCCACCUGUUCCCUGCUCUCACUACAGAUCACAUGUAUCGUCUCCGUACAUCAUAGUCCUGCUUGACCUCAUCUGUCAGCCUGUUCAUCACCAAUUCAAACAAGAAUGGGCUCAGAGCCAAUCACUGAUGUAAUCUCACCUCGAAUCCUAUCACACAAUCUACCACUGUCUCACUAUCCUCACACAUGUCCUGCACCACCCUCACAUGCUUCUCUGCCACUCCUGACUCCUUCGCACAAUACCGCAGGGUUUGUGCUAAGCUAAGCUAAUCAGGAGCUUCCUAGAGCAAAUAUCCAGUUUGGACACAGGAGAGGUGUUCAUUGUAUUGGAUAACAUUUGGCAAUGAAGUUAAUAAAUCAUCUCUGUGUUACUGGUGAGCCUUUAAUUUAGAAAUGUGGCUUAACUUGUCAGACUUAAAGUUCAACACCCUGGAAUAAAUUAAUCACCAAAGUACACUUUUUUGGAUGUUGUCCAAGAGAGUGUAUUCUGUAUCUUAUCUGUGAGAGAUGCUACAAGUUACCUUAAAAAAAGGAAACCCUGUUCUCAGAAAACAUCAAGAUUUUUGAAUACCUAAAGAGGAGGGAUGCGAUCUUAUAUUUGUUCGUGUGCCAAGUGGUUAUUUACCAUUUAUUGUUCCCGGUAGUCUUUGCUCAAUCUGAUGUUUGCACUUGUGUUCCUAAUGGUAAUGUUAUGACAGUAAAGUGUUGAUAAGGACCCAAUAACUCUGUAACUUGUAUAUCCUGCUAGACAGCAGGAAGGCUGCACUUUGUUAUGAUAGCAUGUAGUUUGGACUUGUUUACCCAUCUCAUCGACGCCUGGCUGACUCAUUGGACCUGGUGUUAUUACUGUACGCAUACGCGCUUUACAUAAUCGGGUGUUCUUUUCUCUCCUCAGCAAAGGGAACAAAGACCAACAUUUCACUUGUGCCCUGUCGAAACACAAGCGCAAGUGGUUGGCUGUUACAGAGAGGUUCACGUGGUAAAACCCAGCCUGUUUUUGUCAUCAUUAGUCACGGGGCUGCUUGUCUGUCACAAAGGGCUUGGAGAACAAUAAGAAGAGGGAUAUAUUAUGGUGCAGUGUCCACACUAUGGCACCUUCAGCUCCGUAUCAGUCUUUAUCAUUCAAACCAAUAUUUUUUAUAAAAUACAUUGUAAAUUAUAUAUCGUGACUGAGUCUCUCAUAUUUCCGAAACCACAAAUGAAAUCUUGAUUAUUUUCUUAGGAGUCGAUAAAAAAAAACGUGACAUUACCAGAAAUACUGGUUUGGCGAUAUCUCGGAACUAUAACAGCCUUAAGUGUUUUACUGCUUCUUCUGUUCUGAUAAGAGUCUCUUUCCAUUUCAGGGACGUUUACCAAGCAGUUGGACUGCCCUUCGAAACUCACAGCUGGAUUAAAGGAAAGAAAGGCAAAAGGUCUUAGUUAAUAAAUGACUGAGGUUUAUGAGUAGCCAGCAUUUUAAUGAUAAGCAACAUAAGAGUGACUAUUUUAGCCAUGCUGCCCACCCUGGUUUAAGAACCACGUGGAAUUUGAUACUUUUGUAAGUCUUUCAAAGUCUUCAGAGGGCGGGGUCUUGCCUUGACAUGACAGCCGAGCCAGAAUGUUACAGUGUUCAGGCUGCGCUGUGCUCGAAGAGGAUAUCUCCCAUUGCAAACAAAAGUGAAGAGGCCAAUCAAAUUGCUGUUCCUGCCUGAGAACAUUAUGUCAGUGCCAGACAGUGUGCUGUUUGGACACAGUGCACUGGGGGUUGGUGCUGGGAUUUGGGAACGUACAAAAGGUCUCUUGAAUCAUCACAUUGCAGCAGCCACAGACAGAGAUACUCCACCGUUCCCCUCUGAGUGAAAUUGUGAAAGAUAUGAUCACUUCCACAGCUGCUUGUCACCUUUGGAGGGGUUCAGUUGUUUGCGCUGCAGCUGAUUUCCUCACUGUCUCUUUUGGCUUUCGAGCACUUGACACCCAAAUAGGAGUUGAUAAACACUUGCAGUUUCUAUGCAGCUCUGGGAAAUAACCCUGUGAAAGAGGAACUAUCCCCUUUUGCUGUGCUCUCAUUAGAAAAGAUGGCCAAAGCACCACAUGAAACACAAGAACACCACGUUUUUGUGGUGAAAGAAUAUGUAAAAUAAUACAGCCAGAUGGCCUUCUGAAUGCCACAUUGCCGUGAACACUGGGAACUUUCUAGUGUGGGCUUUUGUGCACAAUGCUGAAAGUGUGCAUUCAUUCUCACAGGAGAGCAUCAGCUGCUGCAGGAAAGCAGGUCUAAUCCUGUACUGGUGGAGUGCAACUUUACUCCUUUUCUUAAAAAAAAAGACGUUUUGUGCCCUUUGUCUGUUGCUCUUAAAGCAUGCCACACAAUAUCCGACACAUAUUCUGGUACAUUCAAAAUCUGAGCUAAACAGGUCCUUGAAACUUUUUUUGAUUAAACACUGGAGUUCAUGUGGGUCCACAGGAGGUUAACAGGGACAUUCAAGUAUGUCCUUGUGCUUAUAAUCAAUAGCAUUAGCUGGUUUGUUUUCUGCCAGGACUUUGUAGCUAGUGACAUGAUAGUUUCCAGCAUGCCUGGAUUUGAUAACUGUUUAUGGAUUUAUUUCCAGGUGUCUGGAAAAAUGAUCAGAUUGAUCCAGCUGUAAUGCUAACGCCAUUAAAUUGUCCAACACUGACAAAAACUUUGUAUCUUGACUCCCUUUUUUUCCACCAUAAUGGUGUCAACUUGUCUCUUACUGGAGAAUAAACCAAAGAAGACAGUGCCUGUGGGGGCUGGCUGGAUUACAGUUGGCAGAGACUCAGAGUUGCUCAGAGGAAGGUUUUGAGGUAAAUUGCUAGUUUGCUGAGAGAAACCACCAUCUUCCAGAAAAAAAAACAACAAAAAAAACAAGAACAACAACAAAAAACACAAGCUGUUCAUUUAAAAAAAAUACUGCACUAUAAAAUAGAUUAUAAUCAUAAAGACUGUCAACUGCUGAAAGUCAUUUUUGAGUCAAGUCAAGUCUGAUGAAACUUUUGUCAUCAAACAUGCAAGACUGAGAGGAGAAUAGGAUAGAAGUUAUCAGCAGGGUCGAGUAGGAUUUAAACAACCUACUGCUAGUGUUGUUAUGCCACUCUUCUGUCAUUGAAUGAAAGUUUAAAAAGCGGUUUUGAAAACAACUUAUUUUCUCUGUCUAACAUCAGCUGGUUAAACCAGUAAUUUCUUCACUGAACUCUCUGCCGAUGCACUGUGCUGCCCUGCCAGAGGCCUGCUAGAGAUAGUCAUAAGAAGGGGACUAAAUAAUAUUAAAAAAUCAUGUUGAAUCUUGUUGCUCCCAUUUCAGACUGAAUAACUGCCUCUGUGCUGAAAUGUCUGUGUUCAGAUGAUUUAUGCGCUUUUAGUUGGUUGUUUUCCUCGUUUUUGUGAUCAGAUAAUGUGUAACAGAGGAAAUCGGUGCAAUCACGUUUUCAAAUAGUCACCUCAUCAGUUUUCUUCAUGACAAAAAUUGCACAUUCAGAGCAUAAGGGGGAAAUUGCUCAAACUCUGUAUUUCAACAGUUAGUUCUCAUCAAAUAAAGCUGCUUGUAUUUUUUUUCCUUCGCAGAAAAUCAGUUAAAAAUGAAUUAGCUAAUAAGUAGGUCUUUUCCGUCUUACAUCACUGAGAGGGAAGUAUAUUGGGGUUUGGACUCCUGGUGCUCAACAACUAAUUUCAGUCCAGUUUGGAGAAGGGGAAAUAAAAAAAAACAAUAGAAAAUUUACUUGCAAACCAACAGUAUUCAGUAGAUUUUUGACAAAUACUGCAUCAAGUGUCAGUCCUUUUGCAUACAGGAUGAGUGAUCCUGCUGCACUGCAAAUCAAAUCAAUCUGUACAGCAAUGUAACCAAAAAUAUACACAAUAUCCCAAAACAAGUGACAUGAAUAGAUUUUAUUUAUGAAUAAACUUCAUAAAUAGAACCAAGGCAACAGGAAGAAAAAGACCUUUAAUACUAGUUUAUCUCAGGAAGUACUUGGCAGGUAGGUCGCUCCAGCAGCUGCAAUUCUUCUUCUUCUUCUUUUUACACUCAGGGUAUCUGGGUGUCAUCUUCUGUGGAUAUAAGGGCUCUGUGGACAGGGGCACUUCCAAGGUGUUUUUUGAUGGGGUGGUACAG